UUUUUAGUAUAAGUAUAUCCCAUGUAAUAUUUGGUACAUACUUAUAUACUAAAA
rfam:Felis catus isolate Cinnamon breed Abyssinian chromosome F2, whole genome shotgun sequence.